CAGCAGCCGCGGGAAUACGUAGGGUGCAAGCGUUAAUUGGAAUUACUGGGCGUAAAGCGUGCGCAGGCGGUUAUAUAAGACAGAUGUGAAAUCCCCGGGCUCAACCUGGGAACUGCAUUUGUGACUGUAUAGCUAGAGUACGGCAGAGGGGGAUGGAAUUCCGCGUGUAGCAGUGAAAUGCGUAGAUAUGCGGAGGAACACCGAUGGCGAAGGCAAUCCCCUGGGCCUGUACUGACGCUCAUGCACGAAAGCGUGGGGAGCAAACAGGAUUAGAUACCCCUGUAGUCCCUGUCUCUUAUAC
rnacentral:rRNA from 1 species